UACGUAGGGAGCAAGCGUUGUCCGGCAUCAUUGGGCGUAAAGCGCGCGUAGGCGGCCCGAUAAGUCCGCUGUGAAAGUCAACGGCUCAACUGUUGGAUGCCGGUGGAUACUGUCGGGCUAGAGUACGGAAGAGGCAAGUGGAAUUCCUGGUGUAGCGGUGGAAUGCGCAGAUAUCAGGAGGAACACCUAUAGCGAAGGCAGCUUGCUGGGACGUUACUGACGCUAAGGCGCGAAAGCGUGGGGAGCGAACAGG
rnacentral:rRNA from 1 species